rnacentral:tmRNA from 1 species
GGGGUCGUUUGGUUUUGACAGCGUGUAUGUGGAUUUGUAAGCACGUCGGAAAUUUGGAGAGCGGGAUCCGUUAAAAACUAACUCUCUUAGCCAAUAAAUGGCAACAACUAUGCAAUCGCUGCUUAAUUGUGGCGAGUCUCGAAGCUCAGACAAGGUCUGAAGCAUCGGGUGCUUCCCCGGAAGCUGCGCCGUCCGGCGUUCGGUCAGAAGUAUCAUAAAUGGAUGGAUAGUGAGCACGGGCUUCGCCGUGCGAGCGAAACAUUAGAAGAUAAGCGUGAGGUCGGUCUGUCCCGUACCUGCCCCGCGCCGACAACCAAACGGAGACUAAACGUGUAGAAAGCAUUUUUGCAGCAAGUUUGGACGCGGGUUCGACUCCCGCCGGCUCCAC